UACAGAGGGUGCAAGCGUUAAUCGGAAUUACUGGGCGUAAAGCGCGCGUAGGUGGUUUGUUAAGUUGAAUGUGAAAUCCCCGGGCUCAACCUGGGAACUGCAUGCAAUACUGGCAAGCUAGAGUAUGGUAGAGGGUGGUGGAAUUUCCUGUGUAGCGGUGAAAUGCGUAGAUAUAGGAAGGAACACCAGUGGCGAAGGCGACCGCCUGGACUGAUACUGACACUGAGGUGCGAAAGCGUGGGGAGCAAACAGG
rnacentral:rRNA from 1 species